rnacentral:rRNA from 1 species
GACGAACGCUGGCGGCGUGCUUAACACAUGCAAGUCGUACGGUAAGGCCCUUUCGGGGGUCCACGAGUGGCGAACGGGUGAGUAACACGUGAGUAACCUGCCCACAACUUUGGGAUAACGCUAGGAAACUGGUGCUAAUACUGGAUAUGUGCUCCUGCUUCAUGGUGGGGGUUGGAAAGCUCCGGCGGUUGUGGAUGGACUCGCGGCCUAUCAGCUUGUUGGUGGGGUAGUGGCCUACCAAGGCGGCGACGGGUAGCCGGCCUGAGAGGGUGACCGGCCACAUUGGGACUGAGAUACGGCCCAGACUCCUACGGGAGGCAGCAGUGGGGAAUAUUGCACAAUGGGCGCAAGCCUGAUGCAGCAACGCCGCGUGCGGGAUGACGGCCUUCGGGUUGUAAACCGCUUUCAGCAGGGACGAAGCUUUUUGUGACGGUACCUGCAGAAGAAGCACCGGCUAACUACGUG